AUUAUCCAGAAAUGUAUUCAGGGCAGGACUGGUGUAUUUCUGUAAAGUAUUUGCGAAGAUAAUUUUGAAGCCGGCUCGCCAUUUCGAAAAUAAUCAAUCUUAGGUUGUAGGGAUUCUUUAGCAACGAAAAUGUGUUUUCAUCCUUAAAAAUAAAAACUAAUAGUGAAAAACUAUUAUCAUAGCCUCAUAUUGCUUCUUUGAAUUUCGAAACCACCAUGCUCCCAAAGUUGUCAUCCCGCCGGACCUGCCAAAGUUAUACCACAAAUUCUCGAAUAAUACCAGUGGUGUGGGUUUCAAAUCAGUAGCAGUCAAUAUCAAAAUUGAAUUGUCUUUCAUAUUUUAUGUGUGUUUUGCAUUUACUAAUGCCCAAAACUAGAAUUAAUCCAUGUUGAAUACAUCACCACCAUUGGUGUUCUUUGUCACCCUGUUCCACUAAAUUUAAUAUUGUUUAAAAACAAGACCGAGUCGGCAUCUAAAUAAACCACCAAAAUGUGCAAAAAUGCACAGACUAUAACAUAUAAAAGUAUUAAAGCUCAGCUAAUUGGGGCUCAUUGUCAAUUUACCUUCCAAAGUUGAAAUUUAAAGUUUUGGGUACCAAACAGUCUUGAACAAAAACAUUCAUAGUUGGUAAACCUACCGCAGAUGGGCUCAUAAAAGGUGUUCAUCAUAAUAAAAAUUAAAUUUUCUUUCCCGAUAAGCAUGUUUUAUUGCAGUUUCGGUGUCAUAAGAUAUAUUUUUUUGGUCUAGAAUGUGAGAGCUUCCUUGCUGCCAAAAGUCACACUGUAACAAUCAAUGAAAUAUUACUAAGAAAUAAAACCGAGUCGGCAUCUAUUUAUAGUACAAUAAUAUACAAAAUUAAAUUUUCUAUCUGCUGGUGUAAGGUUUUAUACAAAAUAAAUUGGGGCUCAGUACGAAAUUCCAUGUUAAAAACUGCAGACCAUGAUUAUCGCCUUCAGCUGCGCACAGUUUACUGUACUGCUAUCGCUAGCGAACGCCAGCUCUCUCAUUUGAUUGGUUUAACGGCGUGUUCGUUGCUGACGGAGAACAUCCCUGAUUUUUGAAUUUGUUUUGAUUAGGCCGAUUAGGCACAUUGGAACUCGGUUAAAGGGACACUCCCACCUUAACAUUAGUUUUGAGUUGAGAUAGCCAAAUUGGUGGCCAUGGCCUGCAAAUACCGGUUUGGGCACUCACAACAUCGACAAAUGCUUUAAUUCGGAGAUAUGGAAUUUCAAACUUGCAGUUUUCGGAUUCUAAGGGGCUAGUGCAUUGGUAUGCCCCCUUAGAAUUUGUGACGUCAGCGGAGAUCUAACGAUUUUUAAAUCUUUUACUAAAACGUUUGGUAGCACGCGGUGGUAUAUGCUGCUUUGCGCGCAACAAAUGCCGCACUUUCAAAUAAAGUCGCUAGGAACAGCGGAGAUCCCGAAAAGUAAACAAAAGUAAAAGUCUAAUAUCUUGAAAACCAGUGAAUAUUUUUCGAUGAAAUUUGGUAGAUAUUCGUUUUCGCUCUUUCUGAACCGAGCGACAUCACUUUCGUGCCAAUUCAUUAACUUUUUUGAAGGUGGGAGGGUCCCUUUAAAAUUCAAUUUAAAAUUGUGCAGCUUGUUGAUGGUAGAAGUUGUGAAGCGCAUAACAUAAAAGAGUUGUGUAGAGAUUGUAUGGGGUGUUGGCGUUUUUUGUAGUUUCCUUUUUCUUGUGCUCUUUUGAGAUCUUUGCAGGGGUUGGAAAUUUGCAAUCACACAGUGUUUUUUGUUUUGUUUUCAUGCCACAAUUAUGGGCAACAUGGCAGGGCAAAGUUUGCCUCAAGUCCUGGCUCGUUCGUAGCCUUGAUUUGCAUUCAAGAAAGCAGGUCUGUGCCCAAAUGCACGCUGCACAUUUUUUAUAUUCUUCAAAGCAAUCGAGGACCGAGGUUCAUUUGCCGAUGCUGCAUGGAGUAUGCGAAGCAAAGCAGUGUCAUGCUGACGCGGAGACAAAGACGUUGUAUCUGGCGGUGGUUCUGGAGACAGCGCGGUUCGAUCCAGCUGUGGGCCGGACGUCACCCAGCAGAAAUGGCAGCGUGUUAUCACCAGCUACGAGGCGCGCAUACAGACAUUGUCCAGAAACAAUCACGUCAUAUCCAGAGCGCCACGCGACCACGAUGGGACUGCCAACGAUGGCCUGCUCACCGACAGCUCCCCGCCAGCCAACGGGCUUCCGCCAGCCAACGGCGUUCUGCCCGCCGAUGGUGGCCCGACGACCGACGGUCGCUCGCCGGCCGAAGGUGAUCCUGUAGCCGAACGAGGCUCGCCGACCUACGCCGACCGACGCCGGCCCGCCCGCCGACGGCGCCCUGCCAGCCGACCGCGUCCCGCUCGCCGACGGCGUCGAUACGCCGGCGCGCGUAUCGACAUUGAUCAGAAACGAUCACAUUAUGUCCAGGUCAUUAGUCGCGGGCGCUCGAGCUGACGGUGUCGUCUGACGGCUCCACGGUGACCAGCGCCGCCUCCGCCCCGAGAACAUCAGACUCCUGAAAUGCUAAUGGCCGUACACGAACAAGAGGCUCUAAACAUCCAGGUGCAGGAUACGCGCCAUGCUCAGAGGCGUCAUCUGGAGAAGGCCGCACAGUGCACUUAAGGCUGAGCUCGGGUGUAGUGCGCGCAGACAGAUAUGAUCAACUGGCCAUCAGAUUUCAGUACGGAACUCAAGAUGAUUGGAGCCGACGUGGUUCGGUUGAUGGUGUGUCAGGGUUGAUUGAGAGUGGAGGCGAGACACCCGGAUCUGUGAAUGAUACGCCGAUACGGGUCUCGACGUCGUCUCGCAAUUUGUGCUAUGUAAUAUGACGGCUAUGCCGUGGUAUCAUUCACUCUCGAUGCGCUAAUAAAUAAUAAAUAGGACAGAGACUGGAA